rnacentral:rRNA from 1 species
GACUGCGGAGGAUCAUUACCGUGGGGCUUCGGCCCCGUCGUGAUAGAACCCUUGCCUUUUUGAGUACCGUCCGUUUCCUCGGCAGGCUCGCCUGCCAAUGGGGACCCAAAACCAAACUCUUUUUAUCAUCUGUACCAGUCUGAAAAACAAACAAAAGUUAAAACUUUCAACAACGGAUCUCUUGGUUCUGGCAUCGAUGAAGAACGCAGCGAAAUGCGAUAAGUAGUGUGAAUUGCAGAAUUCAGUGAAUCAUCGAAUCUUUGAACGCACAUUGCGCCCUCUGGUAUUCCGGGGGGCAUGCCUGUUCGAGCGUCAUUACAACCCUCAAGCUUUGCUUGGUAUUGGACAUUGCCAGUUUCUGGCAGGUCUUAAAAUCAGUGGCGGUGCCAUUUGGCUUCAAGCGUAGUAAUUCUUCUCGCUUCGGAGAUCCAGGUGGUUACUUGCCAAUAACCCCCAAUUUUUUCAGGUUGACCUCGGAUCAGGUAGGGAUACCCGCUGAACUUAAGCAUAUCAAUAAGCGGAGGA